rnacentral:rRNA from 1 species
GUGGGGUAUAUUGGACAAUGGGGGGAACCCUGAUCCAGCCAUGCCGCGUGUGUGAAGAAGGCCUUUUGGUUGUAAAGCACUUUAAGCGAGGAGGAGGCUACCGAGAUUAAUACUCUUGGAUAGUGGACGUUACUCGCAGAAUAAGCACCGGCUAACUCUGUGCCAGCAGCCGCGGUAAUACAGAGGGUGCAAGCGUUAAUCGGAUUUACUGGGCGUAAAGCGCGCGUAGGUGGCCAAUUAAGUCAAAUGUGAAAUCCCCGAGCUUAACUUGGGAAUUGCAUUCGAUACUGGUUGGCUAGAGUAUGGGAGAGGAUGGUAGAAUUCCAGGUGUAGCGGUGAAAUGCGUAGAGAUCUGGAGGAAUACCGAUGGCGAAGGCAGCCAUCUGGCCUAAUACUGACACUGAGGUGCGAAAGCAUGGGGAGCAAACAGGAUUAGAUACCCCUGUAGUCC